GACGAACGCUGGCGGCGUGCUUAACACAUGCAAGUCGAACGGAAAGGCCCUGCUUUUGUGGGGUGCUCGAGUGGCGAACGGGUGAGUAACACGUGAGUAACCUGCCCUUGACUUUGGGAUAACUUCAGGAAACUGGGGCUAAUACCGGAUAGGAGCUCCUGCUGCAUGGUGGGGGUUGGAAAGUUUCGGCGGUUGGGGAUGGUCUCGCGGCUUAUCAGCUUGUUGGUGAGGUAGUGGCUUACCAAGGCUUUGACGGGUAGCCGGCCUGAGAGGGUGACCGGCCACAUUGGGACUGCGGUACGGACCAGAAUGCUACGGGAGGCAGCAGUGGGGAAUAUUGCACAAUGGGGGGAAGCGUGAUGUAGAAACGCCGCGUGCGGGAUGACGGCCUUCGGGUUGUAAACCGCUUUCGACUGUGACGAAGCGUGAGUGACGGUAAUGGGUAAAGAAGCACCGGCUAACUACGUG
rnacentral:rRNA from 1 species